AUUGAACGCUGGCGGCAGGCCUAACACAUGCAAGUAGAACGAGUGGCGGACGGGUGAGUAAUGUCUGGGAAACUGCCUGAUGGAGGGGGAUAACUACUGGAAACGGUAGCUAAUACCGCAUACCAUCAGAUGUGCCCAGAUGGGAUUAGAUUGGUGGUGGGGUAACGGCUCACCAAGGCGACGAUCCCUAGCUCGUCUGAGAGGAUGACCAGCAACACUGGAACUGAGACACGGUCCAGACUCCUACGUGGGGCAGCAGUGGGGAAUAUUGCACAAGGGGCGCAAGCCUGAUGCAGCCAUGGCGCGGUUAUGAAGAAGGCCGUCGGGUUGUAAAGUACUUUCAGCGGGGAGGCGUUAGCCGCAGAAGAAGCACCGGCUAACUCCGUGCCAGCCGCCGCGGUAAUAC
rnacentral:rRNA from 1 species